rnacentral:tRNA from 1 species
GCCUGUAGCUCAGUGGUAGAGCAAUCGGCUUUUAACCGAUUGGCCGUGGGUUCGAUCCCCACCGGGCC